rnacentral:rRNA from 1 species
ACUUUCAACAACGGAUCUCUUGGCUCUCGCAUCGAUGAAGAACGUAGCGAAGUGCGAUAAGUAAUGUGAAUUGCAGAAUUCUGUGAAUCAUCGAAUCUUUGAACGCAAAUUGCACUCUCUUCGGAGAGUAUGCCUGUUUGAGGGUCAGU